CCUACGGGAGGCAGCAGUGGGGAAUAGUGCACAAUGGGGGAAACCCUGAUGCAGCGACGCCGCGUGAGUGAAGAAGUAUUUCGGUAUGUAAAGCUCUAUCAGCAGGGAAGAAAAUGACGGUACCUGAGUAAGAAGCCCCGGCUAACUACGUGCCAGCAGCCGCGGUAAUACGUAGGGGGCAAGCGUUAUCCGGAUUUACUGGGUGUAAAGGGAGCGUAGACGGCAGGACAAGUCUGGAGGGAAAUGCCGGGGCUUAACCCCGGAACUGCUUUGGAAACUGUGCAGCUAGAGUGCAGGAGAGGUAAGUGGAAUUCCUAGUGUAGCGGUGAAAUGCGUAGAUAUUAGGAGGAACCCCAGUGGCGAAGGCGGCUUACUGGACUGUAACUGACGUUGAGGCUCGAAAGCGUGGGGAGCAAACAGGAUUAGCUACCCGGGUAGUC
rnacentral:rRNA from 1 species